rnacentral:rRNA from 1 species
ACAUGCCUACAACAUAGCAUUAAUGCACCAGAUCCCAUUAGAAAUUUGUAGUUAAGUGCGCUCAAGCUAGAGUAUUACUGGGAUGGGUUAUCACCUGGGAAGUCCUAGUAUUUUACAUGCC